rnacentral:lncRNA from 1 species
GAAUCUCGGCAAGUCCGAACUCUUGAGGGUAGGUUGGCUGGCUGAAGACUCAGGGAAGAGUUGCAGUUUGAGUCCAAAGGCAAUCUGUUGGAAGAAUUCCUUCUUGUUGGAGAAGUGUGAGUGCGGCCAUGAAGAAAAACAGUACCUACUAGAACAAUUUGAUGCUACUGCCUGUCAUGCUAGGGCACUAGCAGUUUUACCCGCCUUUGCUUUUGCACCAUAAAUGGAAAUAUCAACAGAGUGAAAAAGGUGAAUGCAAUUUUGAUCUCAUGGAGUUCCUGAGAGGGACCCUCGGAGACUGCAGGGUCCACACAUCAUACUUUAUGAGUUGCUGGUGAAGACAGAGAGAAGAGCAUCAAGCCUCAGGGUAUUUCAGCCUUUAGAGGUUGGGUUGAGGAGAAGGACCCACCAAAGGAAAGUG